rnacentral:rRNA from 1 species
UCGGAAUUACUGGGCGUAAAGCGCAUGCAGGUGGUUUGUUAAGUCAGAUGUGAAAGACCCGGGGCGUCAACCUCGGAAUAGCAUUUGAAACUAGGCAGACUAGAGUACUGUAGAGGGGGGUAGGAAUUUCAGGUGUAGCGGUGAAAUAGCGUAGAGAUCUGAAGGAAUACCGGUGGCGAAGGCGGCCCCCUCGGACAGAUACUGACACUCAGAUGCGAAAGCGUGGGGAGCAAACAGGAUUAGAUACCCUGGUAG